rnacentral:rRNA from 1 species
GAUGAACGCUGGCGGCGUGCUUAACACAUGCAAGUCGAACGAAGCACUUUUGAUUGAUUUCCUCGGAAAGAUUUCACUUGUGACUGAGUGGCGGACGGGUGAGUAACGCGUGGGUAACCUGCCCCAUACAGGGGGAUAACAGUUAGAAAUGACUGCUAAUACCGCAUAAGCGCACGGUAUCGCAUGAUACAGUGUGAAAAACUCCGGUGGUAUGAGAUGGACCCGCGUCUGAUUAGUUAGUUGGUGAGGUAACGGCCCGCCAAGGCGACGAUCAGUAGCCGAGCUGGGAGGGUGACCGGCCACAUUGGGACUGAGACACGGCCCAAACUCCUACGGGAGGAAGCAGUGGGGAAUAUUGCACAAUGGGCGAAAGCCUGAUGCUGCGACGCCGCGUGAACGAAGAAGUAUUUCGGUAUGUAAAGUUCUAUCAGCAGGGAAGAUAAUGACGGUACCUGACUAAGAAGCACCGGCUAAAUACGUGCCAGCCGCCGCCGUAAUAC